AUAUACAACUCGUCUAAACAUCAACCCAACAAUGUUAGAUCUGUAAAUUUGCUAACAUUGUUGGGUUGAUGUUUAGACGAAUUGUAUAU
rnacentral:sRNA from 1 species